UACAGAGGGUGCAAACGUUGCUCGGAAUUAUUGGGCGUAAAGCGCAUGUAGGCGGCAUGGUAAGUUCACUGUGAAAGCCCUUGGCUCAACCAAGGAAGUGCAGUGAAAACUGCCAAGCUCGAGUUCUGAAGAGGGUCGCGGAAUGGCCAGUGUAGAGGUGAAAUUCGUAGAUAUUGGCUAGAACACCGGUGGCGAAGGCGGCAUACUGGACCACCUCUGACGCUGAGGCGCGAAAGCCAGGGGAGCAAACGGGG
rnacentral:rRNA from 1 species